rnacentral:rRNA from 1 species
GUCAAAGGGGUUUUUGGUUGGGGCAACCGCGAAGAAAAAAUAACCUUCGAAAAUAAAAGACUAAACAAAUCUAAAACUAUGAAUAGAAUUGAUCCGGAAACCGAUCAAGGAAAAAAGUUACCGCAGGGAUAACAGCGUUAUUCUUUCUGAGAGCUCUUAUUGACGAAAGAGUUUGCGACCUCGAUGUUGGACCGGGGCACCCAAGAGGUGCAGCAGCCUCUAAUGGUAGGUCUGUUCGACCUUUAAAGCCCUACGUGAUCUGAGUUCAGACCGACGCAAGUCAGGUCAGUUUCUAUCUA